UGGACUGCUUAAGCGCAAUCAAAUAUUUUGAGCAAUGGUAUUUGAAAUAACUUCUCAAAAUUACGUGAAAAUCUAAGACAAUAUCCUAUACCGCUGAUCUUGAAAAAUUGAAGAUAUUCUAUAAAAACUACCAAAUUUGUCUCAAUGAAGCGAACGUAUCAGAAUGGACUCCAGAAGUGGUUCGAUGUACAUUUUACAAGCAUGGAAUAAUUGACGAUAAGGAUGUAAUUAUAAAAAAUGAACUUUUCACAAAUUACGGAUAUAUAAUUUCCGAUGAGAGCAAAUUAAAUCAAGCAAAAGAGAUCUUUACUAAGUGUGACGAACAAGCAAAACAACGGCCAGGAACUAACGAGGAGAAGCUUAUGAUAAUUAUAACAUGUGCAAUGCCAAUAAAAGAUCUACUCGACAAA